GUGCCAGCCGCCGCGGUAAUACGGAGGGUGCAAGCGUUAUCCGGAUUUACUGGGUUUAAAGGGUGCGUAGGCGGGCCCUUAAGUCAGUGGUGAAAGCUCCGAGCUUAACUCGGAAACUGCCAUUGAUACUAUAGGUCUUGAAUUCGGUCGAGGUUGGCGGAAUGUGUCGUGUAGCGGUGAAAUGCUUAGAUAUGACACAGAACACCGAUUGCGAAGGCAGCUAGCUAGACCGACAUUGACGCUGAGGCACGAAAGCGUGGGGAUCAAACAGGAUUAGAAACCCUCGUAGUCC
rnacentral:rRNA from 1 species